rnacentral:lncRNA from 1 species
GGGUUCGAAAUUGAGAGGGCGUCAUGCGGAAGCUAUUAGUUGCAAACUAGGAGAAAUAAAUAAGAUGACAACGAAAAACAAUACUAAAAACAUAAUUUUAUUCUAUGAUUUGACCAAUUGGCCUACAUAUAAAACCUAAUAUUAAAAAUAAUAUUAAAAAGCAUAAAACUAAUGAGAGAGAAAAUUCCCCCCUAAAUGAAACUCUUAAAAGACUACAUUGUGG